UGUUAAAUAAGCUAAUACAUAAGCUAUUGGGCUCAUACCUCAAAAAUGAAUUUUGCUAUUCUUUUACAU
rnacentral:tRNA from 1 species